rnacentral:tRNA from 1 species
GGUGGCUCAGUGGUAGAGUGCUUGCCUUGCAUGCAUGAGGCCCUGGGUUGGAUUACUCAGCACCA